UACGGAGGGAGCUAGCGUUAUUCGGAAUUACUGGGCGUAAAGCGCACGUAGGCGGCUUUGUAAGUAAGAGGUGAAAGCCUGGUGCUCAACACCAGAACUGCCUUUUAGACUGCAUCGCUUGAAUCCAGGAGAGGUGAGUGGAAUUCCGAGUGUAGAGGUGAAAUUCGUAGAUAUUCGGAAGAACACCAGUGGCGAAGGCGGCUCACUGGACUGGUAUUGACGCUGAGGUGCGAAAAGCGUGGGGAGCAAACAGG
rnacentral:rRNA from 1 species